rnacentral:rRNA from 1 species
CCUAUAAUGCAGUCGAGCGGACGGAUGGGAGCUUGCUCCCGGAAGUUAGCGGCGAACGGGUGAGUAACACGUGGGCAACCUGCCCUACAGACUGGGAUAACCUCGGGAAACCGGAGCUAAUACCGGAUAGGUUUGAAGAUUACCUGAUCUUCAAUUAAAAGAUGGCUUCGGCUAUCACUGCAGGAUGGGCCCGUGGCGCAUUAGCUAGUUGGUAAGGUAACGGCUUACCAAGGCGACGAUGCGUAGCCGACCUGAGAGGGUGAUCGGCCACACUGGGACUGAGACACGGCCCAGACUCCUACGGGAGGCAGCAGUAGGGAAUCUUCCGCAAUGGACGAAAGUCUGACGGAGCAACGCCGCGUGAGUGAUGAAGGUUUUCGGAUCGUAAAGCUCUGUUGUUAGGGAAGAACAAGUGCCGUUCGAAUAGGUCGGCACCUUGACGGUACCUAACCAGAAAGCCACGGCUAACUACGUGCCAGCAGCCGCGGUAAUACGUAUGUGGCAAGCGUUGUCCGGAAUUAUUGGGCGUAAAGCGCGCGCAGGCGGUCUUUUAAGUCUGAUGUGAAAUCUCGGGGCUCAACCCCGAGCGGUC